rnacentral:rRNA from 1 species
UACAGAGGGGGCAAGCGUUGUUCGGAAUUACUGGGCGUAAAGGGCGCGUAGGCGGCCUUCUAAGUCGAACGUGAAAUCCCCGGGCUCAACCCGGGAACUGCGUCCGAUACUGGAAGGCUUGAAUCCGGGAGAGGGAUGUGGAAUUCCAGGUGUAGCGGUGAAAUGCGUAGAUAUCUGGAGGAACACCGGUGGCGAAGGCGACUUCCUGGACCAGUACCGACGUCAGGCACGAAAGCGUGGGGAGCAAACAGG